AUCGUAGAUGUCAAGCCUUCACCC
rnacentral:siRNA from 1 species